rnacentral:rRNA from 1 species
GGAGGGUGCAAGCGUUGUUCGGAAUCACUGGGCGUAAAGGGCGCGUAGGCGGCUCCAAAAGUCUGAUGUGAAAGCCCGGGGCUCAACCCCGGAAGUGCAUUGGAAACUGUGGAGCUUGAGUUCGGGAGAGGAAGGCAGAAUUCCCGGUGUAGGGUUGAAAUCCGUAGAUAUCGGGAGGAAAACCGGUGGCGAAGGCGGCCUUCUGGAACGAAACUGACGCUGAGGCGCGAAAGCGUGGGGAGCAAACAGGAUUAGAGACCCUGGUAGUCCACGCUGUAAACGAUGGAUGCUGGGUGUGGGAUUCAAUACGGAAUUCCGUGCCGAAGCUAACGCAUUAAGCAUCCCGCCUGGGGAGUACGGUCGCAAGACUA